rnacentral:rRNA from 1 species
AUGGUGAACUCGGCGGAGCCGUCGCCCGCAGCUUUCCCUUCGGAUCUCACCAAGGAAGGCGGUGCUACGGAGGCGGGGGGCAGGGCCGCGGAGAUGGUUACAAUGUCGUCGAGUGCCCACCGCGGGAGGCUGAUGUCGCUACCAUCAAUGCUCAAGCCCUGGGGAAGCCAAUGGUUGCUGCGGUGUGUUCCCGUGAACCGCCAUGGCGAACCCAUCGCCCCGGACACGGGAUCCUCCUCGGAUCAGCAAUAUGAGGUCAGCGAGAGGCUAAAGCUUGGCGUCGGCAAAGUGGAAGAGGCGCCGGGCACUGGCAACCCCAAAGUCGAAAAGUACCCUGAGGUCACCGAGGAGGUUUCUCCACAGCUAUUGAAGGCACGCCCUGGCCGCCGCCGCCACCUUGCUAUGCCAUCCCACGCGGCCACGACCGUCGUGAGUGCAUCGUCGCGGGCAUUCGAGCGCGAGCGGAGGUCGGUCCGCGCCGAUGCGCUCAACAGGCCACGAUUCUCCAUAUCACUCUCCGCGGAGGAGAUUGAGGAAGACAUCUACGGCCUCAUCGGCGCACUCCCAUGUAGUCGCCCUCGCCGUCGGCCCCGCAAAGUGCAAAAGCAGCUCGAUCUGCUAUUUCCUGGCGCGCGGUUAUCGCGGAUCAACGUGGAGUCCUACCGGGUGCCGGACAAUCGCUGA